CUUGAUUUAGAACCUCCUGUCUUGGAGGGGGAGAUACACUUCAUUGCAAGCUGUCCACACAGAAAUGAUGCACAGAGAAAAGUACUGAACUGACUUGGAUAAUCUCACUAUUUUACAGGCAAACCAAGUAAAUAAAACAGCUUUUUCCUCCAAUAACUUCUCUGGUAGAAAACCAGAUGCUUUCUGUCACGUAUCUCCAUAUUUCUCAUUAGGCAAACUCUGUAAGAAUGUAUUUUUAACAUUCUUUAGCCCAAAAAUGUUUAAGUUUCUCCAAGGAAAGCUGGAUCACCUGUUUCAGGCGUAUUCAGGGUUGAUUUUUUUUUAUUUUUUAUUUUCUGACACCUGAAACUUGUGUAGUUUAUAUAAUACCGUAAAUUAUGUGCCUGGUAAAUGUACAGGGGUUUUGGUUGUUGUUGUGUUUUGUUUUGUUUUUGAUUGUGUGUGCGAGGGAGCUUAUUUUAAAAAGUGGCUAGAAUCUUCUCGCUGGGCAGGAGGAUGAAAUGUACUUACAGAUGUUUCUAGUGACUCGAAAUAUAUGAUAGACUUAGGCUUUGGUCCAAGACACACUGAAGGAAUCAAUAACCUUUUCUGGUCUUUCUUUUCCUUGAGGCGAGGCUGGUCUGUUUUAAAUUGUCGUGGGGUGUCUGCUGCUCAGUUUCACCUCUGGCUGCAGAGGGUGGGUCGAGUUUCGGGAGCCCAGCAGAGCUGAGGGAGCCUGGGCAGCGCUGCCUUCCGGCUGGAAGAGGCUGUCGGACGUUGGGCCCCGCAGGACAAAGGUGGAGCCGAGCACGGAAUCCUUUCUCCCUGUCCCCCCCACCGCUGGCUAUGCCACUGGAUGGCAGCAUUGGCUACGCGUUGGCACCGGCGGCACCGCGCCGGGCUGGGCUCCGGUUCAGCCUCGUUAAACAUCAGCCGGUUUGCUGCAAAGAACCUGGAAUGAGAAGAGUGCUGAUGAUUCUUUCUCUGGAGUGUGAAUCCUGGUGGUACAUCAGGCACAUCCUGAUGUCUAACUAG
rnacentral:lncRNA from 1 species